UGCAUUUCAUAAGCGGAGGAAAAGAAACCAACCGGGAUUGCCUUAGUAACGGCGAGUGAAGCGGCAAAAGCUCAAAUUUGAAAUCUGGUACCUUCGGUGCCCGAGUUGUAAUUUGGAGAGGGCAACUUUGGGGCCGUUCCUUGUCUAUGUUCCUUGGAACAGGACGUCAUAGAGGGUGAGAAUCCCGUGUGGCGAGGAGUGCGGUUCUUUGUAAAGUGCCUUCGAAGAGUCGAGUUGUUUGGGAAUGCAGCUCUAAGUGGGUGGUAAAUUCCAUCUAAAGCUAAAUAUUGGCGAGAGACCGAUAGCGAACAAGUACAGUGAUGGAAAGAUGAAAAGAACUUUGAAAAGAGAGUGAAAAAGUACGUGAAAUUGUUGAAAGGGAAGGGCAUUUGAUCAGACAUGGUGUUUUGUGCCCUCUGCUCCUUGUGGGUAGGGGAAUCUCGCAUUUCACUGGGCCAGCAUCAGUUUUGGUGGCAGGAUAAAUCCAUAGGAAUGUAGCUUGCCUCGGUAAGUAUUAUAGCCUGUGGGAAUACUGCCAGCUGGGACUGAGGACUGCGACGUAAGUCAAGGAUGCUGGCAUAAUGGUUAUAUGCCGCCCGUCUUGAACCCGGGACCA
rnacentral:rRNA from 1 species